rnacentral:rRNA from 1 species
CAAGCGGAUCUCUUAAAGCCGUUCUCAGUUCGGACUGUAGGCUGCAACUCGCCUACACGAAGCUGGAAUCGCUAGUAAUCGCGAAUCAGCACGCCGCGGUGAAUACGUUCCCGGGCCUUGUACACACCGCCCGUCACACCAUGAGAGUCUGUAACACCCAAAGCCGGUGGGAUAACCUUUAUAGGAGUCAGCCGUCUAAGGUAGGACAGAUGAUUAGGGUGAAGUCGUAACAAGGUAAC